AAGGUGGAAAGAUGGGGCAGGAAGGAAGGGUAAGGGAUGAAAAAAGGAAGUAAGAUAUGUCAUGUGCGUGUACCAACUCCACACAAGGAAUGUAAACACUGAGUACUACAAACGUGUACUAAUGAAAAAUAAAGUGUAUAAAUGGAGGUCUAGGUAUUCCAGGUUAUCACUUCUUUGGCAAUUCUGCUCUUUUCUCUUUUCAGACCUUGUAGCUGUUGGAUGUGAGUUCAACAGAGUCCAUUACCAUAAUGGCCAAGUGUUUCAGCCCCACCCCUUCUUUAGCUGCCUUUGUGUGAGUGGGGUGAUUGGGUGCACACCUCUGUUCAGACCUGAGCUGGCUGGCAGUCACUGCUGUGGAGCUACUGGUGGAAAGAAGUCUGAUCAGUCAAACCGUGGCCUGAGACAGUCACAACAGCAACUGUCAACAAGCUACCAAACAAUGCCAGAUGUAUGCCAGGCUUCUAAUCUGCUUCCUGCAUUGUGGUCUUCAAACUGCUGCCUACCUUCCAGAUAUCUCCAUGAUUCUGCUUCUUUUCUCUCAGUUCAGUGUGCAAUUGCAAGAUUCUACUAUAAUGAGAGUGAAAGCAAUAUUAUAUUUUAUACGAGGAUAUACAUACUUCAAAGUGA
rnacentral:lncRNA from 1 species